rnacentral:rRNA from 1 species
UACGUAGGGGGCUAGCGUUGUCCGGAAUCAUUGGGCGUAAAGCGCGUGUAGGCGGUCCGGUAAGUCCGCUGUGAAAGUCGGGGGCUCAACCCUCGAAUGCCGGUGGAUACUGUCGGGCUAGAGUGCGGAAGAGGCGAGUGGAAUUCCUGGUGUAGCGGUGAAAUGACGCAGAUAUCAGGAGGAACACCGGUGGCGAAGGCGGGUCUCUGGGCCGUAACUGACGCUGGAGGAGCGAAAGCCGUGGGGAGCGAACAGG